ensembl:snoRNA SNORA71 Small nucleolar RNA SNORA71
CCCUGUAUCGAAAGUGAUUGUGGUCUUCAUGGUGGCCUGGUCACUGAAAAUGCAGGAACAGUGAAAUGAGAGCCUUCCCCGUGUCCGAUGGGCCUUCUGUCCCUAUCCGACCCUGGUUCUCUCAGACA